UUAUAGCCCUGAUGGUAGUGGAAAUCCUGUUAUUCUGAGAUGGUGUAGCAAGCUCGCAAUGACAGAUUGGAGCGUCCCGAAAGCUAUCGG
rnacentral:sRNA from 1 species